rnacentral:rRNA from 1 species
UACGGGGGGGGCAAGCGUUGUUCGGAUUUACUGGGCGUAAAGAGCGCGCAGGCGGUCGUGCAAGUCGCGUGUGAAAGCCCCCGGCUCAACUGGGGAGGGUCACGCGAUACUGCUCGACUUGAAGGCAGGAGAGGGAAGUGGAAUUCCCGGUGUAGUGGUGAAAUGCGUAGAUAUCGGGAGGAACACCAGUGGCGAAGGCGACUUUCUGGCCUGUUCUUGACGCUGAGGCGCGAAAGCUAGGGGAGCAAACGGG